CCUACGGGAGACAGCAGUGGGGGAUAUUGCACAAUGGCCGGAACCCUGAUGCAGCGACGCCGCGUGGAUGAAGAAGCGCCUAGGCGCGGUAAGCCCUGUCAGCAGGGAAGAAAAUGACGGUACCUGAAGAAGUAGCCCCGUCUAACUACGUUCCAGCUGCCGCGGUAAUACGGAGGGGGCAAGCGUUAUCCGGAUUUACUGGGUUUAAAGGGUGCGCAGACGGUGUUUCAAGCCAGGAGUGAAAGUUCGGGGCCCAACCCCGGGACUGCUGGUGGAACUGGGUGGCUGGAGUGCAGGCGGGGCAGGCGGAAUUCGUGGUGUAGCGGUGAAAUGCGUAGAUAUCAGGAGGAACACCGGUGGCGAAGGCGGCCUGCUGGACUGCAACUGACGUUGAGGCCCGAAAGCGUGGGGAGCAAACAGGAUUAGAUACCCGUGUAGUC
rnacentral:rRNA from 1 species